GCCCGGGUGGCGGAAUUGGUAUACGCGCUGGACUUAAAAUCCAGUGGUGGCGACACCUUGCGGGUUCGAGUCCCGCCCCGGGCA
rnacentral:tRNA from 1 species